rnacentral:ncRNA from 1 species
CGGGGACAGCAGACUCCCCGUCAGACGGCUUCCGUCCAAGCUCUGC